rnacentral:lncRNA from 1 species
UUGGUAGCAGAAAACCUGUAGUCAAGUGUAUUAAUCAGAGUUCUCCAGAGAGACAGAAGGAGAGAGAGGGAGAGAGAGAGAUGAAAGGAGAUUUAUUAGGAGAAUUGGCUCAUGAAAAUUAUGGGGUCUGAGAAGUUCCACACUGGCUGUCUGCAAGCUAGAGACCCUGGGAUGCCAGUAGUGGUGGUGUUGCUCAGUCUAAGUCUGAAGGCCUGAGAACAAGGUGGAGGUGAGUGGAGAGGGGUGCUGGUGUAAUUCCUGGAGUCUAAAGUCUGGCUUGAGAGCCUGGAGUCCUGACAUUCAAGGUCAGGGGAAAAAGAGUGUAUCCCAGUUCCAGGGGAGAAAAAGAUCAAUUUGCCUUUCUUCUGUUUUUGUUCUAUCCAGGCCCCCAGUGAUUAGACAAUACCCACCCACAUCAAGGGCAGACCUUCCCCACUUAGUCCACUCAGGCUCACACACCAAUCAUUCUGGUAACACCUGCACAGAUGCACCCCAAAACAAUGUUUUACCAGUUCUUCAGGUAUUUCUUAGUCCAGCCAAGUUGACACCUAGAAUGAACCAUCGUUUCAAAAGAUGUAGCCUUUGGUUUAAGACAGUCUUUUUAAGUGAUUAUUCAAUCAAUUUAGGAAUUCAAUUUGUUCAUUUCAAACACCAUAUUUUCCCUUAGGGCUCCUUCUCUUCUCUUUGGGCAAGAAAGAGCUCAUGGCAGUGAAGACAGUGAGUUCACUUGUGUCCUCUGAGUCUUUAUUGGCCUUCCCUGAGACAUGGUAACCUUCUUGGUCUUUUGCCUUUAUGUCUACUCAUUCCUGUCUAGGUAGCCUGACAUCUGUUCUCAUGGCACAGAUAGUGCAGAAUUAUUCUCUCCAGAGUGAUGGGGUCCCCAGAAAUGCAGUUUCAUCCUCCAGCAGAAUUUUGUUUCAAGGCUGUCUAUUCAUAGCUUCUGCAAAAGGAAGGCCUCUCUUGCCUCAGUUACUCCCAGGCAGGCACUCUCUUCUUAGCUAGCUUUUCCACCUCUUUUUAGGGGCUUUGGAGACAUUUUGAGGCUGAGGUCACUAAGACAUCCUGCAUCCUCUUCUCACUUAGGCCUUGACCUUAAGCAUAGAUCGAUCCUAAAGCUGAACACCAAAUGGCUUGAAUGAGACCUUCAAAUAGAGAUCCUUGUGUUUGAUGGCACAACAUGAAGAAAAAAGCAUGAGGAUUGGACCAGAGUGACCUGGGUUCCCAGCUUUACCACCUAGUAGAUGGAUCCUUGGGAAUGAAAGAAAGAAAUCUCUCUCUCUCUCUCUCCUGCUCUCACUCUCUCUGUCACUAUAUCUCUGCUUCUUCUUCAGCAAACCAGAUGAAAUAAUGCCCACCUUUCGGGUUUCUCAGGGUUAAACGAAGUAUUGAAAGCAAAGCAUCUGGAACAUAGUAGAUGAUCAAUGAAUGUUAAUUUUCUUUCCUCCCAUUCCUAAUCAGGCAUGGCAAGUGGGAGAAUAGUACUUCUAAAAUUUCACUGUCUGCCAGAUUGGGUUACUACCUGGUCUAUUUAAGCAUCUGUUUUUCCCUGUGGGUUUUAUUUCAGUUUUUAAGGAAAAUAAUUAAGAAUAUGUUAAUACAACCAAACAUAUGCCAUCUUCACCCUGAGUAAUGAAAUAAAAAACUGUUGAUGGAGUCAGCAAUAUCUUGAAACAUGCAUGGA